AUUGAACGCUGGCGGCAUGCCUUACACAUGCAAGUCGAACGGUAACGCGGGGCAACCUGGCGACGAGUGGCGAACGGGUGAGUAAUACAUCGGAACGUGCCCAGUAGUGGGGGAUAGCCCGGCGAAAGCCGGAUUAAUACCGCAUACGACCUAAGGGUGAAAGCGGGGGAUUGCAAGACCUCGCGCUAUUGGAGCGGCCGAUGUCAGAUUAGCUAGUUGGUGGGGUAAAAGCCCACCAAGGCGACGAUCUGUAGCUGGUCUGAGAGGACGACCAGCCACACUGGGACUGAGACACGGCCCAGACUCCUACGGGAGGCAGCAGUGGGGAAUCUUGCGCAAUGCGCGAAAGCGUGACGCAGCAACGCCGCGUGCGGGAAGACGGCCUUCGGGUUGUAAACCGCUUUCAGUUGGGACGAAGCUUCGCCGGUGAAUAGCCGGCUGGAGUGACGGUACCUUCACAAGAAGCCCCGGCUAACUACGUGCCAGCCGCCGCAGUAAAAC
rnacentral:rRNA from 1 species